CACGUAGGGUGCGAGCGUUGUCCGGAAUUACUGGGCGUAAAGAGCUCGUAGGUGGUUUGUCGCGUUGUUCGUGAAAACUCACAGCUCAACUGUGGGCGUGCGGGCGAUACGGGCAGACUUGAGUACUGCAGGGGAGACUGGAAUUCCUGGUGUAGCGGUGAAAUGCGCAGAUAUCAGGAGGAACACCGGUGGCGAAGGCGGGACUCUGGGCCGAUACUGACGCUGAGGAGCGAAAGCGUGGGGAGCGAACAGG
rnacentral:rRNA from 1 species